rnacentral:rRNA from 1 species
GGGUCAGUAGCUUGGUCGUGCCACCGGUACGUACUGGUCUCACUGAUUCCUCCUUCCUGAAGAACCGUAAUGCCAUUAAUUGGGUGUUGCGGGGAAACAGGACUGUUACUUUGAAAAAAUUAGAGUGUUUAAAGCAAGCUAUCGCUUGAAUACAUUAGCAUGGAAUAAUGAAAUAGGACGAUCGAUCCUAUUUUGUUGGUUUCUAGGAUUGAUGUA